GCUUACGACAUCUCUAAAGCUAAAUCUGAGAAACUGGAGUUCAAAACAUGGGAACAGUCUUUAACGUACAGGGAAAUUUUCCGACAAAACCAUUCCAAAGUGAAGGUAUUUUACUCCACGAUGGAACACACUAUCUACCAACAACGACCUCUAUUGGAGGGGAGUGAAAUGUUUGGUCAGCUUGGAGGAAUAAUGGGACUCUGGCUAGGAGUUUCCCUUCUUACAAUUGUCGAGUGGACAGAGGGCGUUUAUAUUUUCCUAAAACUCUUCUUGCUUAGGAAGACAUCUCCGAAACAGUGACAGAUACGGUGUUUCGGCUGUGUACGUUUUCAAACUAUCACACAUAUUAUUAUUAGUAGUAGUAGCUGUCAUGCAAGUUGUAUUACCAAACACGAUAAUAUUGCUUUAAAAACUCUGCAUGG